CUUUACAUUCCUCACAGGUUUGCUCUUUUGGUCACUAACUGCAGGAUUGUCGCUGCUGAUGGUGGCUGGAGUCCUAAUCAUACUCUACUUAAAAUACAAAAAUAACAACAACAAUACUGAAAGGACUGAACCCCAAGGUACUGACACAAUUCAGCUUUGUAAGUCUGACAAAUAUCCAGCUGUCAGGCAAAAAUCUUUAUUUUUGAAAAUAUGUCUUAAAAUAUUCAUAGAAAUCUUAUUUCACUAA
rnacentral:lncRNA from 1 species